rnacentral:lncRNA from 1 species
CUCAGCACAGGGACUGUGGCAACCCAGGCGCCUGCCCUACUUGGUUCCUGAAUGUUUGCAGGAUGGCAGAUAAGAAAAGAAACCUCUUGCUGAAAUGCUGAAACUUCCUCUGCUUAUGAGAUUAAAAAAACUGGCUGAAAUCAGUUGGAAUCCAUAUGGCCAGCUGGAGUCUAUGCAGAAUGAGCCCGCUGACCUCACAGCCUUUCCACUGCACCUUUCACACUAGCGCCCCCCAAAUUUGCACCUAUGACCCAUGAAGAGGCAUGAAGAUACCACUGUGGAGGCCCGAGGACUUUCCAGACCUUUCCUUCCCUUC